UAAUUUCACGAUUGUUUUACCGUUUCUUGGUCACAAAGUGUAGUUUUAGGACUAGUUCAGUCGAGAAUGUAUAUGUAUUAUAUUUAAAUCUGCAGUCGAUUGGUAAAGAUAGCGCCUGUUUGAACGUUUGCUUAGUGAGAUUCGGUACGAAUGAGAACCAAAGCAUGAGCGGACAUCAGUGUUCACUCGCCCCGCUGACCACCGCCCUCUCUGGGCUUCAUUUCUGACAGAUAUUCCCUGGCUCUCAUGUUGGCCUUGUUUGUUUAUGAUCGUCAAAAUGAGAUCAAAUCAGCAGUAUUUGGUGUCAUAAUGAAACUAUUAAUCGUUUUCUUAUUCAUAUUUAGUGUCUUUUGUGUUUGUUAUUGUUUUGGCGCGAGGUGAAAGUUAAUAAAACUAUAAUUUUAUAAUGUUACUAUGCUUUCCCAUUUAUUCUUAACGCGAUACGAGCACUCGAUUAUUAUUACACCUUGUUCUUGUCAGUACUAUAUAAAACGGUUAUUUAUCAGUGUCAGAGAGAUGUUUUUGCAUGCUGCUUUUAAAUAUAUCAGUGGCAAUAUCUCAUAACAUGUUUUAAUAGUCACGUCACGAUAAAAUAAAUGAUCAAUGUCCACAUUUAAAAGCUGCGGUGCUUACCUGCAGUUCCACGGUGUUUUCGCGUUCUUAUAAGAGAUAUUGCUUCAGAAAAAAAUAGUUUACAUUCCUCUUUCCAAGUGUUAAUCGUCCACACGAUGUGACAAGACAUAACUCCCAUUAAAGGUGCAGUGUGUAAUUUUUAGAAGGAUCUCUUGACAGAAAUGCAAAAUAAUAUACAAAACUAUAUGAUCAGGGGUGUAUAAAGACCUUUCAUAAUGAACCGAUUCGAGAACCAGAAAGAACUGUUGUAUAAAUUAAUAUAUCAAACAUGUUAAAGUGCACAGAAACCAUGCAACAGGAAGAAGCUGUUUUUCUCUUGGUUGAUGCAAGUUAUUUUUGUACAGUAUUGACACACUUUUACUCUUAUGAAUAUUGUACUUGUGAUUUCUAAAAGUUAUUUUUUUGUUUGUUUAUUUUGUGUUACAGGAAACUUCCACCUACAGUAAGCAGAUGCUGAAGCCCAGAUUUCCAUGCUAAGCACUCCAAGGCUCAUCAUGCUCGGAGAGUCCAAUCUGAGGGCAAAAAAUGGAUGCUUUCCAUCGAGUGCUGAGUUCUCCUCCAAUUGAGUGACGGUUGUGAUUUCACUUCUGCUCUAGCCUUUUUGCGUCAUACUAUGUAUGAGGCAGCCACUACAUUGGAAUUUAUCCAGAGGGUAGAGUCCAGCCCAGGAAGUCAACUAGUUCAUGUCCAGAUUUAAAAGAAUAAUAUUUCAGAAAAAAAAAGGUCUUGGAGAAAAACAAUAUUCAGGUUUGAAAUCCUGCUGUAAAUGUAAAUCAUUUAACUUUUAUGCAUUUGUAAUUUACCAGAAACUUUUUAAUAAAUAUUGAUUGUUUUGUGUGUUCAGAAAAAAAGUGUUUUUGUAUGUUCAGAAAAGUGUUGAAAUUAAAUGAAACUUUCACAGAAAAAUGUUAACAUAUUUAAAAAAAAUGUAUAUGUUCAGAAAAGUUUUGAGAUGUUCACAGAAAAAAUGUAACACAAAAAAUGUAUGCUAUGCUAUUUUUAAUUUAUGAAUUUUUGUAAUUUAAAGUGAUAAAAUAAAUGGCAUUUUUGUGACAAA